AAAUAAAAUUCAAAUAAUUUAAUAUAGAAUAUAAUUUUGAAGCAAUUAAAGUAGAA
rnacentral:tRNA from 1 species